UACGUAGGUGACAAGCGUUGUCCGGAUUUACUGGGCGUAAAGAGCGCGCAGGCGGUCGAUCAAGUCGAGUGUGAAAGCCCCCGGCUCAACAGGGGAGGGUCAUUCGAUACUGAUCGACUCGAAGGCAGGAGAGGGUAGUGGAAUUCCCGGUGUAGUGGUGAAAUGCGUAGAUAUCGGGAGGAACACCAGUGGCGAAGGCGACUACCUGGCCUGUUCUUGACGCUGAGGCGCGAAAGCUAGGGGAGCAAACGGG
rnacentral:rRNA from 1 species